rnacentral:lncRNA from 1 species
GGUGCCAAAGCUGGGGGAUGGACAGGAGAGAGGAAGGAGAUGUUACUGCUGAAUUUCCUUCUGCCCGCUGCCUGUUUGACUGGCAAUAGUCCGCACUUUUAGGAAUGGGGGUCACAGAGGGAAGAUCAGGAUGCUAUAAGAAACAGAAGAGCCCCCCCUACUCCCACCAAGGUCAUUGGUCUUCAAGAUAAAGUGCCCAGGCCAGAGGAGGACCUAUUAGAGCGUUUGUCCCGGCGCCGGUGACUCAGUGUUCGCGGGAGCGCCGCACCUACCCCAGCCAACCCAGAUUCCGAGGUCCGACAGCGCCCGGCCCGAUCCCCACGCCUGCCAGGAGCAAGCCGAGAGCCAGCCGGCCGGCGCACUCCGACCCCGAGCAGUCUCUGUCCUUCCGCC